UACAGAGGUCUCAAGCGUUGUUCGGAUUCAUUGGGCGUAAAGGGUGCGUAGGUGGCGUGGUAAGUCUGGUGUGAAAUCCCGGGGCUCAACCCCGGAACUGCACUGGAUACUGCCAUGCUUGAGUACUGGAGAGGAGAUUGGAAUUUACGGUGUAGCAGUGAAAUGCGUAGAUAUCGUAAGGAAGACCAGUGGCGAAGGCGAAUCUCUGGACAGUUACUGACACUGAGGCACGAAGGCCAGGGGAGCAAACAGG
rnacentral:rRNA from 1 species